UUACAAUGAGGUUGAAUACCGCAAUUAAUUUCACUUAGUAUUUAAAUGCUUGAAUAAAUAAUGAAAUUUAUUUGAUCCUCUAUUCAUUUACAAAUGAGUGAAUGUUCAAACGAAUAUUUUUUGUCCUUCUGUUGAAAUGACUGGAAACAGGAUGUGAAUGACCGGAAACAGGAUGUGACUCACAGGAAGUAGGAAAUCAAUGCUUUGGCUUUCCUAAAUGGCUGUGUAGAAGAUGGUUGAAAUCAUAGAUAUAUAUAUUAACAGAGCCCGUCUCAUAUUAGACAUUCUCUGAUAUUAACUAGACGCCUCGUCCGCGGUGCUGGCCAAUGGAGUCGAACGUCACCACUGGCGGCCAUCUUACCACAAUGUGGUGAAUGGUAAUCCUGCACAGGAACACCAGAAGAUGUCUGAAACACGAGAUUGAUCUGCGUAACAGCAGGGGCCUUCUGACAGGAAGGAGUGUGGCUCCAUGAGUCAUCGCCACGUGUGAAUGAUGGCAACAUGGAGGCUACCUGCAGGCCAGCUCAAUCCCUCCAGUUUGCCAUCAGACAAACUGUUGGAUGAAGGACAGAGAGAAGCCAGAUCUGCCCAGGGCUUUGCAAGGACUGCCCGCCAGGCAGAAGCACUGAAACACGCAUGUGUAAACUACCUGCCAGGGGCCUUGGUGAUGCAGCUGACAUAGUAAAACACGGCUUUGACUGUAUAGUAUGAACUAUAAUCCUUUGAUUUCUGGCCUUUUCCAAAGAGGAAGGAUUUUGGUUAGUGGGUUCUGCAGACUUCUUGUGUAUACCCAUGAUAUUGCAAAGGCAUGAGUAUUAAAUGGGUUUCCAAAUGUUAUUUAUCAAGGCAAUCCCUUUUUUGCAUUAAUGUUGCUCAGUAAUCCCACAAAUUUAGAUAUUUUGGGCCCUUUUCCAGCAGCUACUUUUUUGUAAUCCCUCAAAAUGCCUGCAAUAAUUCCCUGCAAUAAACAAGGUGAAUGCAUUUCCCCACUUCAAGUUUAUAUUUGUAAUCCUGCAUCUUGUCCGGGUGAGCAAUGCCAUUACUCUGUGUACAGGAUGUUUCUAAUUACUCACUGUGAAAGGCUGCUUUUCUGAAAUAUUGUACAGUGAGUUACGUGAGCCAUUAAUUAUUUAGCUCUAAUACGAAGCAAGGCUAAGCUCCACUAGAUGGGGUUGUGUUAAGGAAAUGAACCUGUAAUUUAUGAGUCGCUAUAGAGUAUAUAAAUAUAUAUAUAG